rnacentral:rRNA from 1 species
CGGGGGGCUGCAGCAGUGGGGAAUAUUGCGCAAUGGGCGAAAGCCUGACGCAGCAACGCCGCGUGAGUGAUGAAGGUCUUCGGAUUGUAAAGCUCUGUCUUCAGGGACGAUAAUGACGGUACCUGAGGAGGAAGCCACGGCUAACUACGUGCCAGCAGCCGCGGUAAUACGUAGGUGGCAAGCGUUGUCCGGAUUUACUGGGCGUAAAGGGUUCGUAGGCGGAUGAUUAAGUCAGAUGUGAAAUACCAGGGCUCAACCCUGGGGCUGCAUUUGAUACUGGUUAUCUAGAGUGCAGGAGAGGAGAGCGGUAUUCCUAGUGUAGCGGUGAAAUGCGUAGAGAUUAGGAAGAACACCAGUGGCGAAGGCGGCUCUCUGGACUGUAACUGACGCUGAGGAACGAAAGCGUGGGGAGCAAACAGGAUUAGAUACCCGGGUAGUC